rnacentral:lncRNA from 1 species
AUGCUCAAAAUUCUCCAAGCCAGGCUUCAGCAAACCAUGAACCGUGAACUCCCUUAUGUUCAAGCUGGUUUUAGAAAAGGCAGAGGAACCAGAGAUCAAAUUGCCAACAUCUGCUGGAUCAUGGAAAAAGCAAGAGAGUUCCAGAAAAACAUCUAUUUCUGCUUUAUUGACUAUGCCAAAGCCUUGGACUGUGUGGAUCACAAUAAACUGUGGGAAAUUCUGAGAGAGAUGGGAAUACCAGACCACCUAACCUGCCUCUUGAGAAAUCUGUAUGCAGGUCAGGAAGCAACAGUUAGAACUGGACAUGGAACAACAGACUGGUUCCAAAUAGGAAAAGGUGUACAUCAAGCCUGUAUAUUGUCACCCUGCUUAUUUAACUUAUAUGCAGAGUACAUCAUGAGAAACACUGGACUGGAAGAAACACAAGCUGGAAUCAAGAUUGCCGGGAGAAAUAUCAAUCACCUCAGAUAUGCAGAUGAUACCACCCUUAUGGCAGAAAGUGAAAAGGAGCUAAAAUGCCUCUUGAUGAAAGUGAAAGAGGAGAGUGAAAAAGUUGGCUUAAAGCUCAACAUUCAGAAAACGAAGAUCAUGGCAUCUGGUCCCAUCACUUCAUGGGAAAUAGAUGGGGAAACAGUGGAAACAGUGGCAGACUUUAUUUUGGGGGGCUCCAAAAUCACUGCAGGUGGUGAUUGCAGCCAUGAAAUUAAAAAAUGCUUACUCCUUGGAAGGAAAGUUAUGAUCAACCUAGACAGCAUAUUCAAAAGCAGAGACAUUACUUUGCUGACUAAGGUCCGUCUAGUCAAGGCUAUGGUUUUUCCAGUGGUCAUGUAUGUAUGUGAGAGUUGGACUGUGAAGAAAGCUGAGCAGCGAAGAAUUGAUGCUUUUGAACUGUGGUGUUGGAGAAGUCUCUUGAGAGUCCCUUGGACUGCAAGGAGAUCCAAUCAGUCCAUUCUAAAGGAGAUCAGUCCUAGAUGUUCACUGGAAGGACUGAUGCUAAAGCUGAAACUCCAAUACUUUGGCCACCCCAUGAGGAGAGUUGACUCAUUGGAAAAACUCUGA